AUUGAACGCUGGCGGCAGGCCUAACACAUGCAGGUCGAGCGGAUGACGGGAGCUUGCUCCUUGAUUCAGCGGCGGACGGGUGAGUAAUGCCUAGGAAUCUGCCUGGUAGUGGGGGACAACGUUUCGAAAGGAACGCUAAUACCGCGUACGUCCUACGGGAGAAAGCAGGGGACCUUCGGGCCUUGCGCUAUCAGAUGAGCCUAGGUCGGAUUAGCUAGUUGGUGGGGUAAUGGCUCACCAAGGCGACGAUCCGUAACUGGUCUGAGAGGAUGAUCAGUCACACUGGAACUGAGACACGGUCCAGACUCCUACGGGAGGCAGCAGUGGGGAAUAUUGGACAAUGGGCGAAAGCCUGAUCCAGCCAUGCCGCGUGUGUGAAGAAGGUCUUCGGAUUGUAAAGCACUUUAAGUUGGGAGGAAGGGCAGUAAGCUAAUACCUUGCUGUUUUGACGUUACCGACAGAAUAAGCACCGGCUAACUCUGUGCCAGCAGCCGCCGUAAAAC
rnacentral:rRNA from 1 species